rnacentral:rRNA from 1 species
UACGGAGGAUCCGAGCGUUAUCCGGAUUUAUUGGGUUUAAAGGGAGCGUAGGUGGAUUGUUAAGUCAGUUGUGAAAGUUUGCGGCUCAACCGUAAAAUUGCAGUUGAAACUGGCAGUCUUGAGUACAGUAGAGGUGGGCGGAAUUCGUGGUGUAGCGGUGAAAUGCUUAGAUAUCACGAAGAACUCCGAUUGCGAAGGCAGCUCACUGGACUGCAACUGACACUGAGGCUCGAAAGUGUAGGUAUCAAACAGG